UCUAGAGAAAAAGGUCAAUUCUUUUUCCACUCGAUGUAUUGAUCUCAAACCCAGACUAGGCACAGCUCCGGCGACGCUUCUAUUCUGGCAAUCCCAAGCCUCUGCUUCUGCGAAACCCUAGACGUUGGAGGUGAAGAAGACCUGCUACUCUUCAAUGGCAGAAGUAGAGAACACUAAUUCUAUCCGGUCUCAGAAGACGAGAUGGCAAGCUACGAGCCUGGAGACGGGUAGAACUUCUUCCGCCUCUCUCUCUGUCUGUUCGAUUCGAUCUCAUAUAUAUUUCUCCAUCGCUGCUUCUCUGUCUAUUUCAAGUUCCGUUGAUUCUUCUUCUUCGUCGGGGACUAUUGAUUCAGUUACUCCAAGAGACCUGAUGCAACUGCAGAUUUGAGUGGUGCUAUUGAGGCUGGAAACAAGGAGGACAUUGAGAAGUACAGCAAAUGAACUGUGAAGUUAUUAUACCAUCCACUUCAAAGCAAUUGAACCAAGUACUCUUAUUAGUACAUCUACAAUAUCCCACUCUCCAGAUUGCAGAACAAUCUUCGCUCUGUGGUUGCUGUAACAGACUCGGAGUUGCUCUAUAAUCAG